UACGUAGGGGGCAAGCGUUGUCCGGAAUCAUUGGGCGUAAAGCGCGUGUAGGCGGCUUGGUAAGUCCGCUCUGAAAGCCCGGGGCUCAACUCCGGAAUUGCCUUUAAAACUGCAUCGCUAGAGUUGUGGAGAGGUAAGUGGAAUUCCGAGUGUAGAGGUGAAAUUCGUAGAUAUUCGGAAGAACACCAGUGGCGAAGGCGGCACUCUGGGCCGGAACUGACGCUGAGGCGCGAAAGCUCGGGGAGCGAACGGG
rnacentral:rRNA from 1 species